UACGGAGGGUGCAAGCGUUAUCCGGAAUCACUGGGUUUAAAGGGUGCGUAGGCGGCGAGGUAAGUCAGUUGUGAAAUUCCCCGGCUCAACCGGCGGGACUGCGAUUGAUACCGCUUUGCUUGAAACAGGUUGAGGUAAGCGGAAUGUGGCAUGUAGCGGUGAAAUGCAUAGAUAUGCCAUAGAACACCGAUUGCGAAGGCAGCUUGCUGGGCCUGAUUUGCCGCUGAGGCACGAAAGCGUCGGGAGCAAACAGG
rnacentral:rRNA from 1 species